ensembl:lncRNA
CAGAUUUCUUCAAGAGCAGACUGAGACAUUGCUGGAGACUCCUUGUGGAAAGAGGCAAGAGCCAAAGGAACUCAGAAACUUGAGCUGUACUUGACCUUGAACGGAAUGACGGUGCAUACAGCUUUGGUUCCUGCUGGCGACCACAUUGCAACCUUAAAGGCUGAGAGUCUUAGGAUGACGUUGACACCAUGGAGGAGGGUGGAGAGACAAAAAGAAACAAGGCAGAACAGAUGGAUCAGACCCUGCAGAAAGCCCACCCACCUCGAAAUUUUUUACUGUCACAGACCAAUAGACAACUUUUAUUGUUUAAGCCAGUUUGAGCUAUGUUUUCUGCUAUUGCAAUAAAGACCAUCCAUCCUCC